UACAGAGGUGGCAAGCGUUGUUCGGAAUUACUGGGCGUAAAGGGCGCGUAGGCGGCCGCCUAAGUCAGACGUGAAAUCCCCAAGCUUAACUUGGGAACUGCGUCUGAUACUGGGUGGCUCGAGUUCGGGAGAGGAAUGUGGAAUUCCAGGUGUAGCGGUGAAAUGCGUAGAUAUCUGGAGGAACACCGGUGGCGAAGGCGGCAUUCUGGACCGAAACUGACGCUGAUGCGCGAAAGCCAGGGGAGCAAACGGG
rnacentral:rRNA from 1 species